rnacentral:antisense_RNA from 1 species
CUUCAACGAUGCCAGCCACACCGGUCGCUCGGCGCUGUGGUGCUGGCCGUAGGUCGCCAGCAGCGCCUGCGCCUC